rnacentral:rRNA from 1 species
AUUGAACGCUGGCGGCAUGCCUUACACAUGCAAGUCGAACGGCAGCACGGGUGCUUGCACCUGGUGGCGAGUGGCGAACGGGUGAGUAAUACAUCGGAACAUGUCCUGUUGUGGGGGAUAGCCCGGCGAAAGCCGGAUUAAUACCGCAUACGAUCUACGGAUGAAAGCGGGGGACCUUCGGGCCUCGCGCUAUAGGGUUGGCCGAUGGCUGAUUAGCUAGUUGGUGGGGUAAAGGCCUACCAAGGCGACGAUCAGUAGCUGGUCUGAGAGGACGACCAGCCACACUGGGACUGAGACACGGCCCAGACUCCUACGGGAGGCAGCAGUGGGGAAUUUUGGACAAUGGGCGAAAGCCUGAUCCAGCAAUGCCGCGUGUGUGAAGAAGGCCUUCGGGUUGUAAAGCACUUUUGUCCGGAAAGAAAUCCUUGGCCCUAAUACGGUCGGGGGAUGACGGUACCGGAAGAAUAAGCACCGGCUAACUACGUG